UUCGUUUCAUCGAUCUAUUUGUUCGUCUGUCGAAGGAUCAUUACCCACAAUGCUUUACCUCAUGGUUCAGAAAGCUUGCCGGUAAGGUAUGCAUACUUAAAAUUUUUCACAGAUAGUGAGACCACUCAACUCUCUCUCCAUGUCAUGAGUGCUGCUAGCUUCUCUCGAACUGUUCAUGAAGUCCAAGAGGAAAACGCUCAACAGUUUCAAUUCUGGUCAGGUCCAUAGAAUUCACUCUAGGAUGAUCCCGAUACUUGUGAAAUGAGCCAGCUCUUGACUAGACAAAACUGAUCAAGAUUGUACCAGCUAAUAUUGCCAUGUAUCUUACUCCAUUGGCACUUGCUAUUUGGAUUAUGGAUGAUGGUGGUCGAAUGGGUUACGGUCUAAAGCUAGCAACAAACUGCAUUACAUAUAAUGACUGCGUAUUUCUUUCUAACACCCUAGCAGAACUAUAUGGAAUUAAGUCUUCAGUACAAAAUGCUGGGGUACCUAACCAGUAUCAUAUAGCAAUGCAC
rnacentral:sRNA from 1 species